rnacentral:SRP_RNA from 1 species
GCUGGGCGUGGUGGCGUGCGCCUGUAAUCCCAGCUACUUGGGAGGCUGAGGCAGGAGAAUUGCUUGAACCCGGGAGGCAGAGGUUGCAGUGAGCCGAGAUCACACCACUGCACUCCAGCCUGAGUGACAGAGUGAUACUCUGUCUCAA